UUUUGAUAUUGUACAUUUAGAAUACACUAAGGGUCUCUGUCAGUUUCAUGUAGGAAAGUUCCCCAUAUAUUUUUUCAGAAUCAGUAUCAGAAGGAGUUUUUUUCUCCAAGUGUGUCCAAACACACAAGGAAUUUGUUGUGGUUGUUUUAGGAGCUCUUGGUAUAAACAUACACACACACACACACACACACACACAUAUAUAUAUAUGUAAUGACACUGACAACAGAAAGAACAUGUAAAUAAUAAUAGUAAUAAUGACAACAGAAAGAACAUUUAAAUAUAACAUUUAAAUACCCACUGAAAUCCUCCGUUGAAGGAGUGAUUGUCGUGCUGCUUGUACGAGAUCGGCUGGAAUGACAGAUGAAGUGGCAGAUGUGGAGGGCUGGAGAGACAGAUGAACAGCGUUAACCAGAUCAGCAAAAGGAUCGUUGGGGUGAUCUUUGCCAGUAUCCGUGGAUCUCUGCAUGUGGUCUGGUCUUCUGACACACAAUUGCCUCCAUGCAAGGAUGAUGACAACAUGACACCCAUAGAGAACUGCUCUGAGGAUUCUGUAACUAGUGCAGGCACUUCACGAUUCACAGCUGAGCCUCCAUGCAAUGAUGAUGACAGCAUGACAGCCAUAGAGAACUGCUCUGAGGAUUCUGUAACUACUGCAGGCACUUCACGAUUCACAGCUGAGCCUUUGGUUGAUUACUCGGACAGCAAAGAUGAAGUUUUGUGUUCUAAAAUUAUGACAUCUUAUAAAAAGAGAUCUGUGAUUUGUGCUGAUUCGGAUGAUCUCUUUGAAAAUUCCAGUGUAAACCGUAAAGAUGACCAUACAGACAUUCAAGAUGAUGUCAGACGGAAUCAUGCAUCAUUUGCAAUGAGUGAACAACAUUCCGCUUGUACCACAGCAUCCAAAAGAGCAAAAAACACCAGAGCUAGAGGGAAGAUUGCUGAGUACUCAGAUGGUUCGAGUGAAGAUGAGUUAUCUGUUAGUGAGGAAGAGUACAUUCCUGACACAUCAGAGAGUUACACAUCAGUGGCAUGAGCUUUACUGCUUCACCAAAAAGUAAAGAAAAAAAGUUACAGACUUUGCCAGUCCGGAGCAGUUCAGCUGUGAACAGAAUCAAAAAGUUCAGUAUUCAAAGCAGCGGUGACUUAGGGAGCUCCCAGAACCACGACAUAGCCAAAGUUCCUGACACAUCUUCCAUUCUUGACAGCGCAACAUCAGUAGUUAUCCCAGCUAUAAUUAAAAAGAGAGGUGGAUUGAGAAUGUACAGCAAAAAACAACAGUGCUUUUUUUGUGACGGUGCUUUUACAAAAAUUUCUAGACACCUGGAACGAAAGCAUAGAAAUGAGGUAGAGGUAGCGAAACCAUUAAGUCAUCCAAAGGGCUCAAAAGAAAGGAGGAUGCAACUGGAGUAUCUACGAAACAAAGGGAACUUUGCUUACAAUAGUACUGUUAUUAAUACAGGUGCAGGACUGAUGAUUCCGCGGAAACUGCCCAAAAAGAAAAUGGAUGGGGAAAGUUUUAUGCACUGCAUUUACUGCAAAGGACUCUUCUUAACCUGUUAGCCAGCACCCCCCAUUAUGGUACUCACAGCUGAAAGUGCCCUACCUAACUUAAAAUUGUAACAGUUCCUCACUUCAGUGUGUUAAACACAUAAUUUUGGUGUCUUUGGAAAGAAGACCCUUUGGGCUGUACUUUUUAUCAACCAGAGUUGGUAAUGCUCAAAAAUAUUAAAAGUUAUGGACACUGAAGUGAAGGGCAUUGAAUUUUUUUUUUACCACACUGAUUUUUUU
ensembl:lncRNA